rnacentral:rRNA from 1 species
UACGUAGGGGGCAAGCGUUGUCCGGAAUCAUUGGGCGUAAAGGGCGCGUAGGCGGCUGUACAAGUCAAAGGUGAAAUCCCUCGGCUCAACUGAGGAACUGCCUUUGAAACUGUACGGCUUGAGGCCGGGGAGGGGUAGCGGAAUUCCCAGUGUAGCGGUGAAAUGCGUAGAUACUGGGAGGAACACCAGUGGCGAAGGCGGCUACCUGGACCGGUUCUGACGCUGAGGCGCGAAAGCGUGGGUAGCAAACAGG